rnacentral:rRNA from 1 species
AUGUCGAGGAGGAACACGCCUGGGGCGUGGACGAGGGAGUCGAGCGCCGAUUUGAGCGAGUGGAGCGCGAGGUCGCGGAAGGUGAAACCGGUGAGACGGGUCCAGAGGCGGCUCCACCGGCGGGAGAGGAGGCUGGUGCGCGCGGCGGCGCGGGCGCAGCGGAGGCGGGCGAGGACCUGGAGAAGCAGAUCCUCCGGGAGGGCGCUGAUGAGAUCGGCUCCUUCCUCCAUUGUUGCAAACCCUAGUGCGCCGCGCACUUCUCCCAAAUCGCCGCAAUUGCUCUCUGGCUCGACCGUGAGAUUUUCUGUUUGA